rnacentral:rRNA from 1 species
UACGAGGGGGGCAAGCGUUUGUUCGGAAUUAUUGGGCGUAAAGGGCGCGUAGGCGGUGCGGUAAGUCACCUGUGAAAUCUCUGGGCUCAACUCAGAGUCUGCAGGCGAAACUGCCGUGCUGGAGUAUGGGAGAGGUGCGUGGAAUUCCCGGUGUAGCGGUGAAAUCGUAGAUAUCGGGAGGAACACCUGUGGCGGAAAGCGGCGCACUGGACCAUAACUGACGUGGAGGCGCGAAAGCUAG